AUUUCCUUGAUUUAGUAAUGAUAUUGCUCAUAGAAAUUGAUAAUAUACUAUUUUAUAUUCACUCGUUCAAGUGCUGAUCUAUUUUUAAAUUGAAUAUUUAUGUAAGUAUUAUGUAUAACACGAUAUAAAUAAUUUAAGGACAUAAGAAAUUAAAAUUUCAAGUGCCAAUAUUGAUUAUUUUUCCAGUUUUAUUCAAAUAUAUUGAAAUUAAUAUGGAAACAAAAGUUCAUAAAUAUUAGUUUGCAAAGCCAUGUCAGAAGAGUAGGAUUAAAGACAAAGUAUUAAGAGUAAUUGGGCUGUUCCUGAACAAUAUUGAAUAUAAAUAUUCAAAAAUAUGAUUGAUAACUGCAUAUCCUACUAAGUAGAUCAAUACCAAAAUCCCAUUAGAGAAAUAAGUUAAAAUUAUGUUUUACUUGUAUAAUUUUCUUGCUAUUUGUCCACCAUUAUUUGUGACUAGAAAUUAAAUAGUCAAAAAGAAUUUAGUACCAGUUUUUAUUUCCCAAAAAAAUUGUUAAAUAAUUACAUAUUGCUUAAGAUACAGUAUAUUAUAUUGUGUUUAUAGUUGAUAAUUCUAGUUCUUAGUUGUUUAUAGUUGAUAAUUAACAAUAUUUCUGAUGUUAGAUAUUAUAUUAGAUAAAAAAUUUAAUUACCAAUAGCUACCUACCUAUGUAGCUGCAGAUUAUAUAUUGUGUAGUAGGUACUGUAUAAUUCUUUAGUUCAAGAAACAAAUAUCAGUACAAGUAUAUAACCAAAAAAAUGUUGAUGCAAAUUCUUUGUAUAACAUACGUACCCCUAUGGUAUUCAACUUUUCAUUGUUCUUUUAAUUAGAUACACAAUAAGCACAUUAAUUGGUUUAUUAAACAACCAAAACUCUAACUACUUAAAUUCACAAUAUAAAUAUCACAAUAAAUGUAUAAGCUUUGAUCAAUUCCUAUUAUUAAUACCUGACGACUUCAUACUUUAUAACUACCAAUGGCUAUCCUACUAACACACUAGCCAACUAAUAAUAAAUCUGUUCUAAAAAAAUACAACAUAAAGACAUCGUUAUUGCAAUAAUAUAGAAAUAUAUUCCAUGUAUCAUUAACUACCUAGGUAUAAAUACAAUACCCACAUCUUCUUUUAUGCGAAUAGUGCGUUAGGAGGCAGAAAUAUUGCCUGCAUUGUACAUCGUACAAAUUGGCUAGAAUUUAUUAAUAUCCAUUGCAAACAUUUCUCUUUUAAAGGGUCUAAAUGUUUUGUCUUUUUACUGUGUCCCUGUAAUAUGUUAUCAAUUAACAACAGUUAUCAAAUAUGACCUGGACAAUAAUUGUUUUAACUUUUUUUCAAACUAAACUCUUUAAACAAACUAUAUAAAUAAAAUUUAUCUCAUAACCUAACUUGCUGUUAGAAUUUCUUUCUUGUUAUUCUAUGUUCCUGUAUUGUUAUUCUUCACAUUAUCAAUUUCUAUGAGCAAUAUCAUUACUAAAUCAAGGAAAUCUAUUCCUAAUGCCAAUUUAAAUUCUGUGAAGGCACAACACUUUCUUCAAUAUUUGUUUACUUCCAAAGGGCAAAGGGUAUAACUUGAAAUAUUUCAAGUAUAUAUUUUAAUUUUUGACAUUAAGCACUCACAUUUAGAACAUCUGAAAUAAGAAAUUUUGUUAUUCUACGCGUCUAAAAAGAUAUAACAUUUUUCUCACUAUAGAGCGAAAUUUCUUUGCGGCUUCAGAUACAAAACUUGCGGAUUUCCAUACAUCGAAAUACAAAAUAAGAUAUUAUUUAUUAGUAGACAAAUACCAAAAUAUAGAAGGCCAAACCAAACCUCUAGGAAAUAACUUUAAAAUACAUUAUUUUUUCAAAAAACGUUUGGAUCUAUAAAUUACAAUAAUAAUCUCAUCACAUCUGUCAGUGAAAUGUUCAAUUUAUAUAUUUUCAAUUUCAAUUUCAAAUACUCGACGCUCAUUGGUCGUGACGAAAUCGUCUUCCUCGACAAAAUACAUAUUUUCCUACAUAGCCCGCUAUAGGGAGUUGAAUAUCCUUCUUCUAUAUAUCCUUGCUGCACCCUCAGAAGUCGUAUCAAUGGAUGAUGGAUGCAUGAAAAUCCUGACCGUGAAUCCAUCCUUCUAGUUAUUAUUUUAUGAAUCCACCUUAGAGAAAGCUGAAAGCCAAUAGCCAAACCUCUGCCAUUGGCCAAUAUUUGAAAAAUUCCAAAAGCCAAUAAUUUUUAAAUUAUUGGCUUUUGGAAUUUUAUAAACCUCUACACAACGCUACACUUGUGUCUACACUCUUUUCUGUUUCAUAGGUAGGUAUGUAAAAUUGGAAUUAUUGGAAUAAUAGUAUAAAAAAGUUUAUUUAUGAGAAUAACCACGUAUAACGUAAUAACUUUAAUACCGCUUAUUUAGUUAAAAGUCUCUGAUAUUAUGCAACUGAUAGUAUUCAUUUUCGGGUAUUUAUCUCUGACAUCUUUUUUUUAUCAUAUUUGUUUAAAAGUCAUAAAUAGACAUUAAACUUACAUUAAAUAAAAGAUUUUAAUCAAGUGUUGAGCUCUGUAUUAAGUGAAAAUAAAAUCUAGCGAUACGAAAAUGAGUAUCUUAAAUGUUCAAGAUUUAAUACUGUCAAAGUAUGAAGAACCCCGUUUCUACGUCAAUUUUAAUACAGUUUUGAGGCCCACUGUAGCAGUAAGAAAUGAAUUUGAACACAAAAUCAACAAGACAAACCAUGUUUUGUGCUGGAGAAUUCAAGAAAACACCCUUGAAAAAAUUGAUAAGAAAAAUGUUGGAUUUUUGUUUGAUUCAGAGGCUUACAUUGUGCACUGGCUCUUUGAUCUUAAAAUAGAUCAGUCAAUAACUGAAGAAAUGUUGGUGUAUUACUGGAGGGGGCAACAUGCUGUAAAAGGCUAUAGUCCUCUUCCAUCAGAUAUAGAAGAGCAAUAUCCUGUUGAGAGGUUGUUCCAGUGGAGUGAACCAGCAUUGUUUUUCCAUGGCUUUGAGAAAUUAAUAGUUUUUAAUGAGGGGAAGUUACAAAAGAAACUCACUUAUUUGAAGUGCCAUGCAUUAAGGCAAGCUUAAGGAGCAGAGGAACUUUCUUAUUAGUUAUACCUCAAGAAAAAAUAUUUUUUUACUGGCAUGGGGCAAAAACACUUAAUGAUUAUAAAACAAACAUAAAAAUACACAAGCCUCAUGUUCAUUUGCAGUUAUGGCAACCACAAUGGGAGUUCUUUUCUAUACAUGAAAUUGAAGAAAAUAAUGAGCCAGAUAUAUUUUUGGAAACUGUAAAAGGCAAUUAUCAAGACUUUUAUCAUAUAAAGACUAAUACAGACUUUAGUCCAAAAUUAUUUUACCUUAACACUAUCACGGGUAGUUUUUUAGCCACUGAAGUGGAAUACCCUCUUAGAAAAAUUGGUGGUUUAGCUCCAUUUCCAUUUCUACAAAAUCAUCUUUAUUCAGCAUCUGAACCGGCCUUAUUUCUUCUUGAUAAUAAUACAGAAAUUUGGAUAUGGGAGGGUAAAACUGGCUCCAACAGUGAUAAUACUUUUAAAGAUCAGUUAAAACUAGCGAAGGAUUUACAAUUGAAAUACUGUGAGGAAAAAAGGAAGAUUACUAAUGAAAACAUUAAAAUCUUUUAUACAAAGGCUGGUCAGGAAACACUUGAAUUUAGAAAUAUUUUUCCAGUGUGGGAAAAAUAGAUAAAUAACAUGUACUAUUACUAUGUUUUUAUGGAGUAUUGAAAUCAAUGGAAGUCAAUUUGAAUCCAAUAUCAAUCCUAUGCACGGAGGAAUAAGAGAAUUUGGUUGGUGUCCAAAUUCUCUUUUGAUUAGGUGGUGAGCAACCCUCUUAUUCCUCCGUGAUCCUACUAUGGUAUAUUUUAUCUACCCUCCAUCGAUCCUACAUCAGCCAAUGCGUGAACCAUAUAUGUAAAACGGGCCAUAUACAAAAGGCCUAGCCCAUAUGUAAAUGGACACUCGAUUCGUAUUGAAACAUAAAAAAAAUUAACCCCCCUGAGAUUUGCCUUUUCAUCAGUCAUUUUUCUUUAAUGCUAUCAGCUGAUUGUUGUUUAUUGUUAUUCUGUAACUUAAUCCUAGGUUUGGGGUUUAAAUCAACUUUAUAAAAGUGGCCCUUACAUUACAUAUUUUUAUUUUGUUCUGGAUUUAAAAUAAACUUAAAUUAAUUU